AACUGAGUAUCUUCAGGAAAAAUGGGCUCCAUAAGAAGUGGCAUCAUCCUGGAACGGAAAG
ensembl:misc_RNA